rfam:Picea glauca, whole genome shotgun sequence.
AGUCGAGGAUGACAAAAUUAAGGCUUGUUUCUCAAAACAUUCGCAGUGGCCGACCGAGAGCUUUCGCCUUCGCCGGGCUUGAGAGCUAAUGCGGUUCAAACCCCUUCCUUGGAUGUCUGAGACU